AAUUUUCAUGAAUUUAUUUAAGUUUUUUGUUAAAUUUCUCUUUUGUAUUUUUACUUAUAUUUAAAUUUAAUUUAAUAAAUAUUUUUAUUGAAUUCCUUCUUUGCAUUACAACUAUCUUAUUAUCUUGAUAAAUUGGUAAUUCUAGUAAUAAUUUUUUUUUUCCAAUAAGUAGAUCUUUAGAGAAUUCCAAUCUGACAAGUAACACAUAAUUAAUAUACGUGUUAUGUUAUAUUUCAAUUUUUCGCGCGAUUUUUGAAUGAAAAAAAUAAGCAUCAUGAGCCAGCCAAUCAGAACGUCGCUUUAUUCAAGUAGUCGCGGGACUCAUUGCGCAUCGUAGUGCGCAUUACACUGCGCAUUACACUGCGCAUGUCGUCAGUCUACAGUUGAAAAUUGUGUGGAGUGGACGUGUCGUCGCGAAUUGUGAUUAUCGCAGUUUAAUUGGUAGCGUUAUGGUAAUAUUCUCGAAGGCGGGAAAAAUUCCAAUAUGGACGCCAUUGGUGACUUUUUUUCGUGGUAAAAUUUUACAUUUCGUGUAAAUUAUUUUUUAAUUAUUAAUCCAGUAAUUGAGUUUGUUACAGAUAUGAAAUAUGAAAAAUAGAAGAAAAUAAACAGGAAAAAAUAGAUAGAUAAUAAUGUGUUAUCCUCAUUUGUUGGAAAUUAAUUACCUUUGUUAUUGUUGUUGUUUCACUAAUUCUGUUCUAUAGUUUGUUUCAGAAAUCUCCUUCAGCUUUCAACAAUGGAUUAUGUGGAAUGGAUUACAUCUUAUCAUCAGAUAAAUAUUCUAAUUUUUUAUAUUAGGUAAUAUAGAAUAGGUUGUAGGAAACAUUUAGCUUUUUUUCUUGAUAGAUGGGAUUUAUAAACGAUGUUCUGUUCUUCUUCUUCUUAUUGUUAAAAAAAGCAGCUUCGCUUUCCCCACUUUGAUUCGUUUUCCAAAUCAACAUUUCCUAUUUUUCAAGGCAAUAUGAUCAUUUUGCUAUCCUUAAUUCCUUAAUUUCCUCAUUAUAAACAAAUGCUUGAUACUUGAUAGCUACAUGACUUUGUUCAUUAGCCAUCAUUGGUAUAUACUGAUUUGCAUUUUCCUCUUGCCACAUGUGGUUUUAUGUCGUAUC